rnacentral:rRNA from 1 species
GGAGCGUUCUGUAAGCCUGCGAAGGUGUGCUGUGAGGCAUGCUGGAGGUAUCAGAAGUGCGAAUGCUGACAUAAGUAACGAUAAAGCGGGUGAAAAGCCCGCUCGCCGGAAGACCAAGGGUUCCUGUCCAACGUUAAUCGGGGCAGGGUGAGUCGACCCCUAAGGCGAGGCCGAAAGGCGUAGUCGAUGGGAAACAGGUUAAUAUUCCUGUACUUGGUGUUACUGCGAAGGGGGGACGGAGAAGGCUAUGUUGGCCGGGCGACGGUUGUCCCGGUUUAAGCGUGUAGGCUGGUUUUCCAGGCAAAUCCGGAAAAUCAAGGCUGAGGCGUGAUGACGAGGCACUACGGUGCUGAAGCAACAAAUGCCCUGCUUCCAGGAAAAGCCUCUAAGCAUCAGGUAACAUCAAAUCGUACCCCAAACCGACACAGGUGGUCAGGUAGAGAAUACCAAGGCGCUUGAGAGAACUCGGGUGAAGGAACUAGGCAAAAUGGUGCCGUAACUUCGGGAGAAGGCACGCUGAUAUGUAGGUGAAGUCCCUUGCGGAUGGAGCUGAAAUCAGUCGAAGAUACCAGCUGGCUGCAACUGUUUAUUAAAAACACAGCACUGUGCAAACACGAAAGUGGACGUAUACGGUGUGACGCCUGCCCGGUGCCGGAAGGUUAAUUGAUGGGGUCAGCGCAAGCGAAGCUCUUGAUCGAAGCCCCGGUAAACGGCGGCCGUAACUAUAACGGUCCUAAGGUAGCGAAAUUCCUUGUCGGGUAAGUUCCGACCUGCACGAAUGGCGUAAUGAUGGCCAGGCUGUCUCCACCCGAGACUCAGUGAAAUUGAACUCGCUGUGAAGAUGCAGUGUACCCGCGGCAAGACGGAAAGACCCCGUGAACCUUUACUAUAGCUUGACACUGAACAUUGAGCCUUGAUGUGUAGGAUAGGUGGGAGGCUUUGAAGUGUGGACGCCAGUCUGCAUGGAGCCGGCCUUGAAAUACCACCCUUUAAUGUUUGAUGUUCUAACGUGGACCCGUGAUCCGGGUUGCGGACAGUGUCUGGUGGGUAGUUUGACUGGGGCGGUCUCCUCCUAAAGAGUAACGGAGGAGCACGAAGGUUGGCUAAUCCUGGUCGGACAUCAGGAGGUUAGUGCAAUGGCAUAAGCCAGCUUGACUGCGAGCGUGACGGCGCGAGCAGGUGCGAAAGCAGGUCAUAGUGAUCCGGUGGUUCUGAAUGGAAGGGCCAUCGCUCAACGGAUAAAAGGUACUCCGGGGAUAACAGGCUGAUACCGCCCAAGAGUUCAUAUCGACGGCGGUGUUUGGCACCUCGAUGUCGGCUCAUCACAUCCUGGGGCUGAAGUAGGUCCCAAGGGUAUGGCUGUUCGCCAUUUAAAGUGGUACGCGAGCUGGGUUUAGAACGUCGUGAGACAGUUCGGUCCCUAUCUGCCGUGGGCGCUGGAGAACUGAGGGGGGCUGCUCCUAG